AACCUUCCUGCAACCCCAGCUGCAGGCCAGACUGACUCCCUGAGCCCUGCCUGUGGAUGGCAGGAGAGACCAAAAAUCACGGAAGAAAGGACAGUGAGAUCCAAAUGCCGGGGGACAGAGCCUGAACCCCAGAGAGAAACCAAGAGGCUUCCAGGUGGCCACUGAAGUAUCUGGAAGGAGGGGCUGAGACAGUUGCAGGCUGUUGAGUGGAUCUGGGGACUGGCCCUGCCCUGCGGCUCCACAUGGCCCAAAGGCCUCUAUCUGACCUCCAGGGCACCCAGCCAGGUUUCCUGACAGCAGCAACCAACACCAGCCAUGCCAAGACUCAAGACCCUCCACCAACUACCUACAACCCUGGAGUCAGUACCCCAAACUCUCCACCUGCUAUCCACAGUCGCCGGGUCAGUAUCCAAGACCCUCCACCAGAUAUCAGCAGUCGCCGGGUCAGUAUCCAAGACCCUCCACCAGCUGUGAGCGGUCGUCGGGUCAGUAUCCAAGACCCUCCACCAGCUGUGAGCGGUCGUCGGGUCAGUAUCCAAGACCCUCCACCAGCUGUGAGCGGUCGUCGGGUCAGUAUCCAAGACCCUCCACCAGCUGUGAGCAGUCGUCGGGUCAGUAUCCAAGAUCCUCUACCAUCUGUGAGCGGUCGCCGGGUCAGUAUCCAAGACCCUUCACCAGAUUUCAGCAGUCGCCGGGUCAGUAUCCAAGAUCCUCUACCAGCUGUGAGCGGUCGUCGGGUCAGUAUCCAAGACCCUCCACCAGAUUUCAGCAUUCGCCGGGUCAGUAUCCAAGAUCCUCUACCAGUUGUGAGUGGUCGUCGGGUCAGUAUCCAAGACCCUCCACCAGCUAUGAGCAGUAGCAGGGUCAGUACCCAAGAGAUACCAUCCAUUACCCACUGUCACCAUUUCCUUAUUCGAGAUGUUUCACAAAUUUCCCAGCCUCGACGCAUCAGUAUCCAAAGCUCUGACUCCGGGGCCAGUAUCAAAUCAGUUACCCACAGUAGCCAUGACCACAUGCAAAAGUGCCCUCUGACAACUAAGACUCCCCACUUAAGUAUUCAAAGUCACAGGACACAAAGCCGGGGCACUAUUGAUAUACCCCCAUCAAUUACCAUUAGCCCUGAGCCCAGUAUCGAAAGCAUGGAAUCAAUUAUAUGGCAGUCCCAGGAGAGUCUCCAAGAAGAUGUGCUCAGCUCCCAACUCAAGCCAACUUCACUAGACAACAUUGAGAGCAUUUCAUCAUGUAGCACCAUUGGAACCAGUUCUCUCCAGUUGCAGAGCAAGUGUAGGCGCCAUUCACUGUUGCCUGUGGGCUGGCAGCUGCUGCAUGAGGCCAAGAAGAUCAGCCGCCAUCUAAGCCUGGUUUUGAGCCUGGCCGGCAUAGUGGUCAUCGGUCUCGUCACUCUAAGCCAGCCCUGGGUCCACUUCCAGGUGCCACUGAGGCCCCCUGGGGACCCUGCUGGCUCCCCAACCAUUCUUAUCAACACCGUCUUCUUUGUGCGGUGCCCUGACAGCUCCUGCCGACAUGAGUACGACCAGAAUGCUUACUUGUUGGACCUGGCCUGGGCCUUCCUCCUCUUCUCCAGCAUCGCCAGCUUCUGCCUGAGCAUGGCUCUAAUGAGCACCAUCUUCUUUGCCAACUUGAACCAGCACCUGUUGGAUUUCUUCACCUUCAUCACCAGCACCCUGGCAGGCACAGCACUAAGAUCCUUUCCUCCAGAACCAAGGCGAGGAGUACUUCACCCAGUGACAAUCAUGAACUCCAACCCCAUUCCCACCACACUCCAAUCCUGUCCCCAUCCUCACCUUCAUCCCCAAUCCCAAUCCUGUCUUCUUGCAAAUCUCCAACCCAUCCCAAUAAAAAAUAUCAACCUCGAGUCCAACCCCAUAUCCACCAUCAACAAAUGUCAAACUCAUCCACAUCCCUUUCCUUGAUGUCCAUCCCCAUCCCUACCCCAUCCUCAGUUCAUCUUCUUUCCAGUAUCCAGCCCAUCCCCAUUACCAUCCAAUUCAACCCAACCCCAUCACCUGUGAACUUCAACCUCAAACUAAACCCCAGUCUACCUCCAACUCUAUCUUCUCAAUCCUCAACCCCAUUCCACCACAACCACAACCCCAUCCCUACUACCUAUGCAUGUCACUCUCAAACUCAACCCAACCCAUUCCCAACUCCAUCCUCUUACCCACAUCCAAUCCAUCACCACUCCCAACUACAACCCUAUGCCAACCACAAUCCAUUCCCAUCCCACCAUCCCCCUCAACCUCAACCUCCGUCCUCAUCACUCAAACUUCAACCACCACCGAUAUCCAACCCCAUUCAGAAUUCUGUCCCACCACCAGGUCUGUGAUUUUCUUCAAGCUACUUCAUCUUUCCAAGCCACAGUUUUCUCAUCUGUAGGAUGGAGACAAAAUUUCCUACCAUGUGGAGAUACCGUGAGGAUUGAAUUAGAAUACGGACCAGCAUCACACUGGGUAUCCUGUUCUACCUCCUGCAAGCCCAAAUGUACCUGCAGGAAGGCAUGACCUACAAGCUGGGGCUCAGCUUCUACUUGGCAUGGACUGGUGUCUUCCUCUUCCUGAUGAUUGGUCUGGGCUGGGAUGGGGUUGAGUCUGGGCAUGGGUAUAAGGAUGCAGAUAGGUAUUUGUGUGGGACAGAGUUUGGGAUGAGGAUGGGGUUGCAGACAAGGAUAGGGAGGAUGUGUCUGAGGCAGGAGACAGGGCUGGGAUGCACAUGGGGCUGGAUGUGGGGAUGGGGUUGGGCUUGAGUUUGAAAAUGGGUUGGCGACAGUGUAGGGGAUAGAAUUGAUUCUGGGUUUAGGGAUGUGUUUGGGAAUAGAUGAGGGGAUGGGAUGGAAUCGGGGGUGGGUUUAAAAAUAGGCUUAGGGAUGAGGCUGGGUUUGGUGAUGGGGUUGGACACAGUGUAGGGUGUGCAGUUGGGCUUGGGGACAGGACUGGGAUUAGGGUUGGGCUGAUGAACUCUGUGUCCCAUCCCCUCUGUCAUUUUGCUUUCUCCAGGUUUCUUGUCCUAUCUGAAUCACAAAAAUUUCUGGUCCAUCCUGGCAAUCCAGGCCAUCUGGUCUUAGGACGUGGAAAUGACCCCACUGCUGGCCUGCUCCCGCAGCUCUUUGUCAUGCACCUGACAACCCUGGUCUCUAGCCCCCACCUCCACCAAGACCCUUGUCCUUUUUCAGUCCCUUCUGACUCCUCUCAACCCAGAUUAAUAAUUUGUAUUUUUAAAUCUGUA